rnacentral:rRNA from 1 species
AGAGUUUGAUCCUGGCUCAGAGCGAACGCUGGCGGCAGGCUUAACACAUGCAAGUCGAACGGGCGUAGCAAUACGUCAGUGGCAGACGGGUGAGUAACGCGUGGGAACAUACCUCUUGGUUCGGAACAACACAGGGAAACUUGUGCUAAUACCGGAUAAGCCCUUACGGGGAAAGAUUUAUCGCCGAGAGAUUGGCCCGCGUCUGAUUAGCUAGUUGGUGGGGUAAAGGCCUACCAAGGCGACGAUCAGUAGCUGGUCUGAGAGGAUGAUCAGCCACAUUGGGACUGAGACACGGCCCAAACUCCUACGGGAGGCAGCAGUGGGGAAUAUUGGACAAUGGGCGCAAGCCUGAUCCAGCCAUGCCGCGUGAGUGAUGAAGGCCCUAGGGUUGUAAAGCUCUUUUGUACGGGAAGAUAA